rnacentral:rRNA from 1 species
UACGUAGGAUGCAAGCGUUGUCCGGAUUUACUGGGCGUAAAGAGCGCGCAGGCGGUCGUUCAAGUCGAGUGUGAAAGCCCCCGGCUCAACUGGGGAGGGUCAUUCGAUACUGAUCGACUGGAAGGCAGGAGAGGGAAGCGGAAUUCCCGGUGUAGUGGUGAAAUGCGUAGAUAUCGGGAGGAACACCAGUGGCGAAGGCGGCUUCCUGGCCUGUUCUUGACGCUGAGGCGCGAAAGCUAGGGGAGCAAACGGG